UACGGGGGGGGUAAGCGUUGUUCGGAAUUAUUGGGCGUAAAGGGCUCGUAGGCGGCCAACUAAGUCAGACGUGAAAUCCCUCAGCUUAACUGGGGAACUGCGUCUGAUACUGGAUGGCUUGGAUUCGGGAGAGGAAUGCGGAAUUCCAGGUGUAGCGGUGAAAUGCGUAGAUAUCUGGAGGAACACCGGUGGCGAAGGCGGGUCUCUGGGCCGAUACUGACGCUGAGGAGCGAAAGCGUGGGGAGCGAACAGG
rnacentral:rRNA from 1 species